AUUUUUAUCGUCUGCCUUUUCUUAAAGAAGAAAGUCUUUUCGAAUAAAGAAAAAGAAGGAAAUGAUAGCAAUUAGACAUGUUUCUAAGGCUAGUGAUAAGCGAGUACUGAUAAUUACUUACACCACGGAUAUUCCAAUAACCUAAGACAGGAGCCAUAACGGAAUUUCUCAAGGACUCACGACUUGGGUUGACACGAUCAGAGACCUAGAUAAUUUCAAGCUAAACAUGCCUACUUAAAAACCACUGCCACAUUCUCCCUCUGGCGGCGGCGGCAAGAGAUUCCUUGCGUGAUAAUGACACGGCGGCUUCUGUUUUUAACCAAAUGAUAUCAUUAAGAAAUCAUGCAGAAAGUCAACCUAAAUUAACUCUUCUUAGGAGGAAAAUGGAUGCGGAGUGGCAUUGACCAAGUGAGAUGGCAACGAUCGAAAGUUAUAAAAAAAUCAUAGAUGGGAAGGAAGAAGGACAAAUGGUAACAUGACUGGUAACUAUCCGGUAGGACCGUGAUUGCUACUAUCCAACUAAAUAAUAACUUGUAGAAGAGACAGAAUAAAAUCACGUCAGCCACCAGAUGUAGGAACACAUACAAAGGCGGAAUUUGAGAAGAGUGUGAUUGCAAAGGGAAUUGCUAACACCUGUCUGCUUGUAAAUGUCAGCUGUUUGCAGUUCUAUCAGCUUAUUUUAUACAAAGAAUUGAUGGUUUUUGCUUCCAUUUUCUAAUGGUUUGCUUCCUAUGAUGGAGAUGUUUAUUAAACUUUACAUUCUUUUUUUUUUAUUUUUU